rnacentral:lncRNA from 1 species
CUUUUUUUCUGUUUUGAAUAUUCACUUUAAAAAUAAGGGCUGUAUUCUACUUGUUUAUGCAAGACAUUAUGUUUUAAUGUAACAAAAUAUAAGCUAAAAUGUGUCUGAAAAACAGGUCUCUGAAUAUAGAAAUUGAACAUUGGAUGGAGGCCUUCUAAGUCAUAGUGUACCUAUAUUGCCUUUAAGGCAGCAUAAAGAAAGUGCAUUUUGAUAUAUAUCUUUAAUAUUCUUUUUAUUGAAGUGAGAGACAGUAUAAGAAAGUAACUUCUAGUUUCUUGGAACAAUGUAUUCCCAGAUUAUUCUAUGUGUAGACAUCCUUGUUACUUUUAACAUUCCCUUUACACCAAUAACCCUUUACUUGGAACCAUAAAACAAAUAUUCAAAAUCGUAGAGGAGAGAAAAUGCACAUGUUGCCAUGUUUUAAUUAAAUAUUUAUUUCAUUUUCACAAGUUAAUAUUUUUUAGAAUUAGUGUAGUUACAGUGUAUUUCUGAAAAUAGAAGUUAUACGAUUUAAUAAUUAUGUAGAAAUAGAUCUGAAAUAAAUCUUUAUAUAUAAACUUUUUGUAGACUCUAACUCUAAAGUUCUCUUUUGCCCAGGAAAAGAGCAGGACACAGGAUGAAAAGCAAGAGAUGGCUAAUGUCUGCAAAAUACAAGAGCCCUGAAUAACCAUCCUUGCCGGUAUUUACUAAGAUCAGAAGGCUUACAAAUGUGAUAGGUGAAUAAACAAAGGAGAGAUUGGCCUUUUUGAAGGAAGCACACUUUGCUUCAAGUAAUGCAAGAGUGGCUAAAGGGCUGGCUAGAUGCAAAGGAGAAGAUUGUGGAUCGGAAGAAGUAUCAGAGGAAGGCAUAUGAUUCACAUUUCAGUAUAGACCCAACUGAUGAAAAUAUUCAAAUCUAUAAAAAAUGGUCAUCUAAAGUAUUUUACUGAAAAAUAUGUUCUUCAUAAUAAGUUAGGUAGAAUGACCACUCUGUAGAUGUCAGUUGUCUAUCUUCUCUCUACAACACAGUAUGACAGUGUGUUGUUUACUGCGCUCAUACACAAAGAAGGAAUAGGGUAAGACUGAGGGUCAUUCAUAGUCUGGGAAGCACAGACAUUCCCUAAUCAAGACCUCCAUUUUGAGCCCUCAAUUCUCUUAAAACAGCAACCAACCCCAUUUCUUGCUUUCUGGGAACAAAUAACUUUAGUACCAUCACAUCAUGUUUUGGCCAGCAAUUCAGUCUUACAAAAUAAUGACUUAAAGGCCUCAACAAGUACAAAAAGAUUGAGAUCAUAUCAUGUAUAUUUUCUGAGCACAAUACUAUGAAAGUUGAAAUCAACCACAAGAAAAAAUUGGAAAGAUCACAAAUACAUAGAAGUUAAAGAAAAUCUUACUAAAAAAUAAAUGGGUCAAUCAGGAAGUUAAAGAAGAAAUU